UUGGAGGGCAAGUCUGGUGCCAGCAGCCGCGGUAAUUCCAGCUCCAAUAGCGUAUAUUAAAGUUGUUGCAGUUAAAAAGCUCGUAGUUGAACUUCGGGGUCUACCCAUUGGUCAGGCUUAAUUGUCUGUACUGGUGAGAUGGAUCUCUACCUUCUGAGGAACUUUCAUGCCAUUUAUUUGGUGUGGUUGGAAAUCAGGACUGUUACUUUGAAAAAAUUAGAGUGUUUAAAGCAGACUAUCGUCUGAAUACAUUAGCAUGGAAUAAUGAAAUAGGACGGACUGAUUCUAUUUCGUUGGUUUCUAGGAUCACCGUAAUGAUUAAUAGGGAUAGUUGGGGGCAUUAGUAUUCAAUUGUCAGAGGUGAAAUUCUUGGAUUUAUUGAAGACUAACUACUGCGAAAGCAUUUGCCAAGGAUGUUCUCAUUAAUCAAGAACGAAAGUUAGGGGAUCGAAGACGAUCAGAUACCGUCGUAGUCUUAACCAUAAACUAUGCCGACUAGGGAUCGGACGAAGUUAAUUUUAUAAUGACGCGUUCGGCGCCUUACGGGAAAC
rnacentral:rRNA from 1 species